AUGACAGAAUUAUCUCAGUUCAUUUACCAAGGCAAGCCAUUCAACAUCACAGUAACCCUUAUAUAUGCCUUGAGAAAUCUGUAUGCAGGUCAGGAAGUAACACUUAGAAUUGGACAUGGAACAACAGACUGGUUCCAAAUAGGAAAAGGAAUCCAUCAAGGCUGUAUAUUGACACCCUGCUUAUUUAAUGUCUAUGCAGAGUACAUCAUGAGAAACACUGGACUGGAAGAAACACAAGCUGGAAUCAAGAUUGCUGGGAGAAAUAUCAAUAGCCUCAGAUAUGCAGAUGACACCACACUUCUGGCAGAAAGUGAAGAGGAACUGAAAAGCCUCUUGAUGAAAGUGAAAGAGGAGAGUGAAAAACUAGGCUUGAAGCUCAACAUUCAGAAAACGAAGAUCAUGGCAUCCGGUCCCAUCACUUCAUGGGAAAUAGAUGGGGAAAUAGUGGAAACAGUGUCAGACUUUACGUUUUUGGGCUCCAAAAUCACUGCAGAUGGUGACCGAGGCUAUGAAAUUAAAAGAUGCUUACUACUUGGAAGCAAAGUUAUGACCAACCUAAGAAGAAUAUUCAAAAGCAGAGAUGUUACUUUGCUGACUAAGGUCCAUCUAGUCAAGGCUAUGGUUUUUCCAGUAGUCAUGUAUGGAUGUGAGAAUUGGACUGUGAAGAAGGCUGAGCACCAAAGAAUUGAUGCUUUUGUACUGUGGUGUUGGAGAAGACUCUUGAGAGUCCCUUGGACUGCAAGGAGAUCCAACCAGUCCUUUCUGAAGGAGAUCAGCCCUGGGAUUUCUUUGGAAGGAAUGAUGCUAAAGCUGAAACUCCAGUACUUUGGCCACCUCUUGCAAAGAGUUGACUCAUUGGAAAAGACUUUGAUGCUGGGAGGGUUUGGGGGCAGGAGAAGGGGACGACAGAGGAUGAGAUGGCUGGAUGGCAUCACUGACUCUAUGGACGUGAAUCUGAGUGAACUCUGGGAGCUGGUGAUGAACAGGGAGGCCUGGCGUGCUGCGAUUCAUGGGGUCACAAAGAGCUGGACACGACUGAGCGACUGA
rnacentral:lncRNA from 1 species